rnacentral:lncRNA from 1 species
UAUUGUUUAACAUACUCAAAACAAAUGUGUGAAAAAAUACUCUUAAAAAAUUAAUUUUUUUAAAAAGAUUUUCAACAGAUUUUUUUUAUAGAAAUAAGUAAUUUUUUUUAUGAUAAUAAAAUUGUUGUAAUUUUUUUUUAUUAAAAUGACUUAAAUUAAUCGUUGCUAUAUAUUUAUAAAAGAAAAAUUCUAUUUUCAACUACAUUAAUUAUUGUUAGGAAUAAGUCAUUUUCACUCGCAAUGAUGCAAUAUUUGAG